rnacentral:rRNA from 1 species
UACGUAGGGUGCGAGCGUUGUCCGGAAUUAUUGGGCGUAAAGAGCUUGUAGGCGGUUUGUCGCGUCUGCUGUGAAAAUCCGGGGCUCAACCCCGGACUUGCAGUGGGUACGGGCAGACUAGAGUGUGGUAGGGGAGACUGGAGUUCCUGGUGUAGCGGUGGAAUGCGCAGAUAUCAGGAGGAACACCGAUGGCGAAGGCAGGUCUCUGGGCCACUACUGACGCUGAGAAGCGAAAGCAUGGGGAGCGAACAGG